GGGAUGGAGGCCUAAAAUUUGGUAGUGAGAAGUGGGGAGAAUAUCCUUUCACCUAAACCCAUUCUUUCUGUUUCUCCUGUUACUGUCCUUUACCGAGGGAGACCAACAGAUGACAGUAGAGUAGUCAUAGAAUACCUCAUCCACCCCCACUCAGGGACAACCUCCUGGGAACUAAAACCCCUUUGAUGCAUCGUAACGAGCAGGUGUCAAAGGCCUUGAUUUACAACAUGGAAACUGAAGAGAAGAGCUGUCCUGAAUAUGUCCAAGACCACACAACCAUGAUAAGAAACCCCGUGUUCCUCCCCCAGCGCCAGGGCACGAUUGUGAAUGUCCAUCUCCAUCCUGCUUGGCAGCCGGGAGGAGGGGGAUAGGUUCAUGCUGACGGGCUUAAUGAGCCCAGUUAA